rnacentral:rRNA from 1 species
UACGAAGGUGGCAAGCGUUGUUCGGAAUUACUGGGCGUAAAGGGCGCGUAGGCGGCCUGUUAAGUCGGACGUGAAAUCCCUCGGCUCAACCGGGGAACUGCGUCUGAUACUGGCGGGCUUGAAUUCGGGAGAGGGAUGUGGAAUUCCAGGUGUAGCGGUGAAAUGCGUAGAUAUCUGGAGGAACACCGGUGGCGAAGGCGGCAUCCUGGACCGACAUUGACGCUGAGGCGCGAAAGCCAGGGGAGCAAACGGG